UGAUAACGCCGCCUGACAUUGUGGGUAAACAGGGAGCAUAUCUGAAGCCUUAUCAGCGGGCAGUUUGAGCUCUCAGCCUCCUUUCUGUUCAGAGGCUGUGAUGGUCACAGGAAGCAGACCUCUAUCAGUCCACAGCUCAUCUCCCCGUCUCCAGCAGACUGUACUUAUCAUCAACAUCAGAGGUCGUGUGAAGGAGGUCAGGGUGGAUGGUCGCACAAACUCAGGAUCAAACUCAGGUGUUUUUCUCUCCAGGCCCAUAUUCCACUAAAGAUGUUUGAAACAAGGAUCUAUAGUUUCAUCAGUAGUUUCCUCAAACAUCUGAGGAAAUGGAGACUUUGUUGGGGACUAUUUUCAGCAGCGGAUUCAUCUCGGGCUGCACAGUUAAUUAAAUCUCUUAUCACAAUCAUAAUUUUGGUUUUCCAUCCAUCCAUUUUCAUCUGCUUAUGUGGGUUGCAGGAGCAGCAGGCCAAGCAAAGCACUCCAGACAUCCCUCUCCUCAACAACACUUUCCAGCUCCUCCUGGAGGACCCCGAGGCGUUCCCAGACCAGAUGAGAUAUCUAAUCCCUCCAGUGUGUUCCGGGUCUGCCCCGGGGCCUCCUACCAGCUGGAUGUACCCAGAAAACCUCUAACAGGAGGAUCCUGAUCAGAUGCCUGAUCCCCUCAGUUGGCUCCUUUUGACAUGAAGGAGCAGCGGCUCUACUCCGAGCUCCCUCCAGAUGUCUGACUCCUCCCCCUAUCUCUAAAGGUGCUGACACACCAAACCGACAUCAAAGAACUAGCGGUGACUGUUGCGUCGUCUACGUCGCCUCACGUCGCCCUGUGUCAGUUGCAUUUGAACACACUACACGGACUACAUCCGACGGCCAAGUAGCACGUACGUUCUGCGCCUGCGUGAGAGAGAGCGGAGUGAGAGAGUGGUACAUCCUGUCAGCCGAGGGGUUUCCUAUCUGUGCAGCCGAGCACCGCAGCACCUCCACGGACUAUUACAUCCAGACGGUCCCGGUGUUUCCUCCGCAGGCUCCACUUCACUCAGCUGCCCGAUAAACCCGCUGCUUCUUCCCACUUUAACCUGAAUAACAAACCAGGGCUCGGUGCUCCGGUUGGAUCCAAACGGAGAGCCGGGGCUAGCUCAGAGACUAGCGGAGGCUAACUGGCUGUGCUUCCCUCCGGUCAUGCUGCGGCUAACGCUCCGCUAGCCGCU